rnacentral:lncRNA from 1 species
AUCCUCCAUUGUCGAAGGUUGCCAUUGUUUCAGAUCGAGAGUUUCAUCCUCUCUUUCUUCCAAGCAAAACCGAUGCAUUUCUCCCCUUUUUUAAUUACGCCCCUCUCCCCACGUCUAUUUACUAAAACAGAAUUCUCUGGUUCUCUUCUUCAAUUUCAUCCUCCAUUGUCAUCCUCCAUUGUCGAAGGUUGCCAUUGUUUCAGAUUGAGAGUUUCAUCUGCCAUAUUUUCAGUCCUACGGUUGCAUCAAAGUCCCAAACCCUCUGCAAAACCAUUUUCUCUCUCUCACUGCUUCAAUUUCAUCCGCCAAUUCCGAACCCUCUGCAAAGUUUUCUCAAGAAAACACAGUUUUAGUCACUAAAAUCGUAUCCAUAGUCAAAAUGGUGAAAAAAGCUAGUACUCCCAAACGACAAAAAGUAGCCGAUAUUCCAUCUUUUGAUN